ensembl:snRNA U6 U6 spliceosomal RNA
UUGCUUAACAGCACGUAGACUCAAAUUGGGACAGUACAGAGAAGAUUAGUAUGGCCCCUGCACAAGGAUAACACAAGUUUUUUUCCGAAUUUUU